ensembl:lncRNA
GUACAAAGUAAAUAAGGUGCAAAGUCAAACUGGAGAAGUAAUUCCGGAAAGGAUUUUGUUAGAGGACCAAUCAAAGCGCUUGCUGUCUCUGUUGCAUCGACGGAUAAUUCAAAACUAUUGGACGUGCAGGUAAGCUAACGAGAAGGUCUCCGUCAGGCUCUCUGUCAAGGUAAUAACUAGUAAUAACAUGCUUUGUAAUUAUGGUUAUUAAGUACAUAACACUCGACUAUUCCAUUUUAAUGAUGUUGAAAACUAGUUUGACGAGCUAUUUCCCCUAACUCAAUGUAGUGUGUGGCUUGAACAUAAAUUAUUAUUAGAAUAAAUCCCAAGAAGAUUGAUACAAACAGUUAUAAUUGUAUUUGUUUGGCGAAAGUUUGUUUUAAGUGUGUACUCUGUAAUGUGUAUUUCUCACACACACACACACACACACACACACACACACACACACACACACACACACACACACACACACACACACACACACACACACACACACACACACACACACACACACACACAGUUCCCGGCAAGUUAUGUAAUUAUUGGUUCUGGUGAAAAGAAAAAUACUCUCUGGAUCGAAAGGUGAAAGGCAGUGUAAUGUUUGUCAUUGAGCAAUGGAAACCGUGAUAGAAAGUCUAGAAGAGCAUUGACAUGUCAUUUGAUACAUUUUCUAUAAAAGUUUAACCGUAGCCAAGAUGAUCAACUUCAGUCGCGAGGGUUCUGGUUUGUUGAGUGUUUUUCUUUUUCUUUUUGACAUUUUGCAUCACAGUUACGUCAGUCGACGUUGUUCGACUUAAUUAGACCGAAGUCAGAAGAAGAAGGAGAAGAAAUUCACAUGUAAUUAUUUAGUGUCUUUUCUAUAGAAAUAAAAAAAUGUAUUUUUCACGUUUAUAUUCAUUGUCUAGCUAAUUAGCAUAUGUAUUGGGUUAGGGUAACCCAAAAAAUAGGCGGAUAACCCUAAUCAAAACCUAGCCUGGUCCUACCUGACUCUCGCACUUCAUUUCAUUUGCACAGAGAGUCUGGACCCACUCAAUUGACUAACGUUAACUCAUUUGAAGACGGAUCCAAUAGUUAGAACAUCCAAACAGACACCCGCCUUCAAAACGUCCCCCUAGAGCCCGUGACUCAUAGCCAGUUCCCUCCCACUCGAUCCCAGUAAGAGGGGAACACGAACCCAUAAUGUAGUCACUACAUCAGCCCCCCCAGUGUUCACCUCAAUAUUCAAAAUCCCCACGGCGAGGAGGGUGCUUGGCCCGGCCCCUACGACUGUAGGCAAAAUCCGGAGGUGCGGGAGGAGGCGUGACAUCGUCCAUCACAUCCUCUUGUUGGGCGGGGGGCAGCGACGACCGGAGGGCCGCAAGCUGUUGGGGCUUGUAGAG